rnacentral:rRNA from 1 species
AUGGAUGGUUCGCCUGCCGCCAAGUCCGUCUUGCUCCUCAUGGCAGCAGCGGCAACCUGGAUCAGCUUAUUCCUUGUCGCCUACGCGUUCGCCGGCGCCGUGACCUGCAUACGGCGCGAGCGGGACGCGCUGCUGGCAUUCAAGCAAGGCAUCAACGACACCGGCGAUGAACUCGGGUCGUGGCAGCGAGGGCGCCAAGAUUGCUGCCGAUGGGCAGGCAUCACCUGCAGCAACGUGACUGGCCGUGUCAUCGGGCUUGACCUUAGCCGGAGGUUUUCUUUGGUCGGCCAGAUAAGUCCUUCCUUGCUUUCUCUAGAGCAUCUCGAGUAUCUCAAUCUCUGUGUGGGCAUGAUGGACGUAUUCCAGAGUUCUUGGGUUCUUUAA